rnacentral:rRNA from 1 species
UACGAAGGGGGCUAGCGUUGCUCGGAAUCACCGGGCGUAAAGCGCACGUAGGCGGCUUUCUAAGUCAGGGGUGAAAUCCUGGAGCUCAACUCCAGAACUGCCUUUGAUACUGAAGAUCUUGAGUUCGGGAGAGGUGAGUGGAACUGCGAGUGUAGAGGUGAAAUUCGUAGAUAUUCGCAAGAACACCAGUGGCGAAGGCGGCUCACUGGCCCGAUACUGACGCUGAGGCACGAAAGCGUGGGGAGCAAACAGG